GUGAGGAAUUUUCCGCAAUGGGCGAAAGCCUGACGGAGCAAUGCCGCGUGAAGGAUGAAGGCCUAUGGGUUGUAAACUUCUUUUCUCAGAAAAGAAUUAUGACGGUAUCUGAGGAAUAAGCAUCGGCUAACUCUGUGCCAGCAGCCGCGGUAAGACAGAGGAUGCAAGCGUUAUCCGGAAUGAUUGGGCGUAAAGCGUCUGUAGGUUGUUUAAAAAGUAUUCUGUCAAAGAUUAGGGCUUAACCCUAGAUAGGCAGAAUAAACUUUUAAGCUAGAGUUUGGUAGAGGCAGAGGGAAUUCCCGGUGGAGCGGUGAAAUGCGUAGAGAUCGGGAGGAACACCAAAGGCGAAGGCACUCUGCUGGGCCAAUACUAACACUGAGAGACGAAAGCGAGGGGAGCAAAUGGGAUUAGAUACCCCAGUAGUCC
rnacentral:rRNA from 1 species